CUCCAGGGCCCUCUGGGGCUUAACCCUCUCAUCGCCGCCCACGGCCGUGCAGCUCCGAGGCCACGCCCCUGUGGGGCCCCGCCCCCUCCUGGGCAGUUACCGCUCUAUACCGGCAGCAGCCGCGGAGAGCAUGCCCCGCCCCCGUGGAGCCCACCCCGGGCGGUUAACCUCGGGUCUCAGUCCCGGGCUGUGACCCUCCCCGAGGCCCCGCCCCCACGGCGAAGGCCCGGGGCAGUUAACCCUUCUCUUGCUGCGGCAGAGUCCGCACCCGGGCAGGCCCAUCUCAGAAUUAACGCUUUGAUGGCAUCACCGCGUCGGGAAUCCCUGGGGAUGGUGUUCUCCACCGUCAAGACCUUUGAGCCGCCUGAGCGACUAACUCCUGCGCCCCUGAGGUCACAGCUACUUGGAAGGCUGAGAUGUGAAGACUACUUGAGCUCAGAAGUUCCACUGCACUCCAGCCUGGGUUACAGAGGGAAACCUUGUCUCUAAAAAAAAGAAAAAAGAAAGAAAGAAAAAGAAAACAUAGGACAUUUUAUUCAGAAAUUAAAUCAUUCAGAGUUCCAGCACUGUCGGGGGUCAUCGGGCUCUGUCCACCGCCAUAGGCCUAGCAUUGUCACCAACGGAGCCAUAGAGGGACCUCGGCCCAAGCUGGGGCCUCUUCAUUGUCGAAGAAGGCCUCUUGCCAGACCAGGAUCUGUGGGCGCGGCCAGGCUGGAGGACUAGGGCGGUGGCAGUGGCCAGGUGAGUGCACAUGGCUGUGGGUGGUCCCUCAAUUGCUCCCUCCUCUCUUUCGCUACCCCCUGGGCUGGAGGGAGGCAGGGCACCCAGCCGGAAUGGCAUGAUCCUGAAGCCCAACUUCCACAAGGACUGGCAGUGGUGUGGCCAUGUGGCUCAGCCAGCCCAUGGGGCAGACCUGCAGAAGCAAGGUGGCCAGCAAAAGCAGGCUGCAUGGCCCACUGAUAUGGGCCCAUCCACCCAUAGUAAGGUGCCCCAUGCUGAGGCAUCACUACAAAGCACAAGCUGGCAGGGGCCUCAGCUUGGAGGAGUUAAGGGUGGCUGGCAUUUACAAGAAGGUGGCCCAGACCAUUGGCAUCUCUGAGGAUGCAAGGAGGAGGAACCAGUCCACCCAGGCCCUGCAGGCCAAGGUGCAGAGGCUGAAGGAGGACCGCUCCUCACUCAUCCUCUUCCCCAGGAAGCCCUUGGCCCCCAAGAAGGGAGACAGUUCUGCUGAAGAACUCGAACUGGAUACUCAGCUGACAGGACCAGAAAUGCCCAUCGGCAAUGUCUACAAGGAGAAAGCCAGAGUCAUCGCUGACUAGGAGGAAAACUUCCAGGCCUUGUUAGUCUCUGUAUGGCCCAUGCAAAUGCCCAGCUCUUCGGCAUAUAGGCACAAAGAGCCAAGGAAGCUGUAGAAGAGGACGCUUAAAAAAAAAAAAAA
rnacentral:lncRNA from 1 species